rnacentral:rRNA from 1 species
AGCGAACGCUGGCGGCAGGCCUAAUACAUGCAAGUCGAACGGUCUCUUCGGAGGCAGUGGCGGACGGGUGAGUAACGCGUGGGAACGUGCCCUUUGGUACGGAACAACUGAGGGAAACUUCAGCUAAUACCGUAUGUGCCCCUUCGGGGGAAAGAUUUAUCGCCAUUGGAGCGGCCCGCGUUGGAUUAGCUAGUUGGUGGGGUAAUGGCCCACCAAGGCGACGAUCCAUAGCUGGUCUGAGAGGAUGAUCAGCCACACUGGGACUGAGACACGGCCCAGACUCCUACGGGAGGCAGCAGUAGGGAAUCUUGCGCAAUGGGCGAAAGCCUGACGCAGCCAUGCCGCGUGAAUGAUGAAGGUCUUAGGAUUGUAAAAUUCUUUCACCGGGGACGGAUAAUGACGGUACCCGGAGAAGAAGCCCCGGCUAACUUCGUGCCAGCAGCCGCGGUAAU